rnacentral:lncRNA from 1 species
CGUAGGUGGCGAUUUCUAGCUCUGCCACAGAAGACGUCCUGGCUUGAACCGCGUGAGCAGUUGUGAAGCUGGAUCCAAGUCUGCUGUGAUAGGGCCAGAGAAAAGAUGGUGGUCGCACCCCCUGCUCUAUGAGUCAGCAGUGUCUAUUGUUCACUCGUCCGUAUCUGCAUUCUCUCUCCUGGAUUCAGCGGGUCAUGACCUUCCCAUGAUCACCCCAGCCUGUGCACACGCAAGUGUUCCCUGAUGGUGAGAAACAGAUUUAAUGUGUAAGUGUUGACAAUGACAGGUCUUGACUGUUUGUAAGAACUAUGUGGAUUUUUGAGUCUGUAGAGCGGCACACGUUUGAAAAUCUGCGUUUACCUUCCGAAAGCUGUACUUGGU